CUCAUUUUCUCUCGCUGCCGCAUGUAAGAAGUGCCUUUCACCUCCUACCAUGAUUCUGAGGCCUUCCCAGCCAUGUGGAACUGCAUUCCUGGUUCUCAGUGCCUCAGAUGGAAAUGGAAUCUACACCGUUGGCCUUCCUAAGUCUCCAGCUUGCAAAUGGCAGAUUAAGUACAUUCUCAGCCUUCAUAAUCAUGUGGACCAAUAUAUUCUUAUAAGUAUCUUUUAU
rnacentral:lncRNA from 1 species